GAUGAACGCUAGCGACAGGCUUAACACAUGCAAGUCGAACGGAGUUGCACUUAGUGCUUGCACCGAGUGGAACUUAGUGGCGGACGGGUGAGUAACGCGUGAGCAACCUGCCUUUCAGAGGGGGAUAACAACGGGAAACCGUUGCUAAUACCGCAUAAAACCGGAUGAUGGCAUCAUUGACCGGUCAAAGGAGCAAUCCGCUGAAAGAUGGGCUCGCGUCCCAUUAGGUAGUUGGUGGGGUAACGGCCUACCAAGCCGACGAUGGGUAGCCGGACUGAGAGGUUGAUCGGCC
rnacentral:rRNA from 1 species